rnacentral:rRNA from 1 species
AUUGAACGCUGGCGGCAUGCUUUACACAUGCAAGUCGAACGGUAACAGCACUUCGGUGGCUGACGAGUGGCGAACGGGUGAGUAAUACAUCGGAACGUGCCUAGUAGUGGGGGAUAACUACUCGAAAGAGUAGCUAAUACCGCAUGAGAUCUAAGGAUGAAAGCAGGGGACCUUCGGGCCUUGCGCUACUAGAGCGGCUGAUGGCAGAUUAGGUAGUUGGUGGGAUAAAAGCUUACCAAGCCGACGAUCUGUAGCUGGUCUGAGAGGACGACCAGCCACACUGGGACUGAGACACGGCCCAGACUCCUACGGGAGGCAGCAGUGGGGAAUUUUGGAUAAUGGGCGCAAGCCUGAUCCAGCAAUGCCGCGUGCAGGAUGAAGGCCUUCGGGUUGUAAACUGCUUUUGUACGGAACGAAAAGCCCUCUUCUAAUACAGGAGGGUCAUGACGGUACCGUAAGAAUAAGCACCGGCUAACUACGUG